rnacentral:rRNA from 1 species
UAAUACGGAGGGUGCAAACGUUGCUCGGAAUCAUUGGGCGUAAAGCGCACGUAGGCGGCGAAGCAAGUCGGGUGUGAAAGCCCUGGGCUCAACCCAGGAAGUGCAUUCGAAACUAUUUCGCUUGAAUCUCGGAGGGGGUCAGAGAAUUCCCGGUGUAGAGGUGAAAUUCGUAGAUAUCGGGAGGAAUACCAGUGGCGAAGGCGCUGACCUGGACGAAGAUUGACGCUGAGGUGCGAAAGCGCGGGGAGCAAACAGGAUUAGAUACCCUGGUAGUCCGCGCUGUAAACGAUGAGUGCUAGACGGUGGAGGUAUUGACCCCUUCGCUGCCGAAGCUAACGCGUUAAGCACUCCGCCUGGGGAGUACGGUCGCAAGACUA